GUAGGUGGCAAGCGUUGUCCGGAAUUAUUGGGCGUAAAGCGCGCGCAGGUGGUUCUUUAAGUCUGAUGUGAAAGCCCCCGGGCUCAACCGGGGAGGGUCAUUGGAAACUGGGGAACUUGAGUGCAGGAGAGGAAAGUGGAAUUCCACGUGUAGCGGUGAAAUGCGUAGAUAUGUGGAGGAACACCAGUGGCGAAGGCGACUUCCUGGCCUGUAACUGACACUGAGGCGCGAAAGCGUGGGGAGCAAACAGGAUUAGAUACCCUGGUAGUCCACGCCGUAAACGAUGAGUGCUAAGUGUUGGGGGGUUUCCGCCCCUCAGUGCUGCAGCUAACGCAUUAAGCACUCCGCCUGGGGAGUACGGUCGCAAAGACUG
rnacentral:rRNA from 1 species